rnacentral:tRNA from 1 species
AUCUAAAUAGCUUAAAAUUUAAAAGUUUAAUAUUGAAGAUAUUAAGAUAAGUGAAGACUUUUUAGGUA